GCUUAUCACCAUUCCAGAUUGAAUAUACCCGAUCUCGUCUGAUCUCGGAAGUCAAGCAAUCUCGGGCUUGGUUAGUACUUGGAUGGGUGACCGCUU
rfam:Ciona savignyi cont_46989, whole genome shotgun sequence.